rnacentral:misc_RNA from 1 species
CUGUUCGAGCGUCAUUACAACUAACAAGCUUAUGCUUGGUAUUGGAUUGCACUAGCUUAAGUGCAUCUCAAAAUCAAUAGCAGUGCUCCUAGCUUCAAGCGUAGUAAAUUAUCGCUUCUGGAGUCUAGAUAUGUCAUUGUGUAAACCCCUAAUAUUUAUGGUUUGACCUCGGAUCAGGUAGGGAUACCCGCUGAACUUAA